rnacentral:lncRNA from 1 species
AUGAAGGAAUAUGUCAGAGGAGUGGAGAUAAAACAGGAUGGCCGAUGUCCCACCUCCUGCGGCCUCUCACAUCAGAGUUGCUUGGAUUUUGGAUACAAGAAGAGUGUGGAAAAGAAUGCUAUCUACCCAGAGUUUCCCAUGGCUGAAAGACAAGGACAGCCACAUGCCCGUGCAAGGCUGAACAUUGUCCAGACUUCCUCCAACCUCAAUGGCAACAGGCACCACAGAGAAAAAUGUUGAUAUCCUGCCUCUCUAUAAACAACACUCUUCAGUUUCCUAUGGAACACUGUGAAACAGAAAGAAGAGAAAAAUUUACUUUCAUGUAGGCAUGAGGUACAGACAUGCAGAAGCUGACUGAUACACUAGCCUUAACAUUUUGCACAACUGCUAUAAUAAACUCUUCUCAGUGGACUUGAUUUUAACA